CUAAAUGCAUGGUCUGAGCCUUGAAAUCUGAAGGAUAAAAAGCACCCAAAUCUCCCAGUUGAGUCCUCAGAGCGAGGAGAACGGAGUGCUUCGUGUAAACCCCGCGUGCAAGAGAACAAAGCGGAAUGAUGUAAAAUAGCAAAUGAGAAAUGCAAACCUGUGGUGAUUGAAGAGGAGGAAGGAAAAUGAAAGAGAAAAAGCUGAAGAGUGGGAAAAAGAUAAAAUAAAAUGACUUUUGGGGAUUCCACUAUCAUGUCUGAUAUGUAUGGAUUAAGCAGUCAUUUCAGGCUCGCUCAGCUCGCUAACAUUUAUCAGGAGUUGGGUUAGGAUCAACAGUUAUGGUGCCAUGCUGCCCGCCUUUCUGCGCCCUGGGAGAGAGCCCGCGUGGCGCUGGCAGCCUCUGCAGCGUGCGCGGCGAGCCGACCAAGGGAGACGGGCGCGCGGGGUCCGGACACGCUCCCCGCUCUCGGAGGGGUUGAAGAAAUUCUUU
ensembl:lncRNA